AGCAGCCGCGGUAAUUCCAGCUCCAAUAGCGUAUAUUAAAGUUGUUGCAGUUAAAAAGCUCGUAGUUGAAUUUCGGGGUCAGUAGGUUGGUCGUGCCAAUGGUAUGUACUGGCUUCACUGAUUCCUCCUUCUUGAAGAACUGUAAUGUCAUUAAUUUGGUGUUGCAGGGAAACAGGACUGUUACUUUGAAAAAUUAGAGUGUUUAAAGCAGGCUAACGCUUGAAUACAUUAGCAUGGAAUAAUGAAAUAGGACGUUUGACCCUAUUUUGUUGGUUUCUAGGAUCGACGUAAUGAUUAAUAGGGAUAGUUGGGGGCAUUAGUAUUCAAUUGUCAGAGGUGAAAUUCUUGGAUUUAUUGAAGACUGACUACUGCGAAAGCAUUUGCCAAGGAUGUUUUCAUUAAUACAAGAACGAAAGUUAGGGGAUCGAAGACGAUCAGAUACCGUCGUAG
rnacentral:rRNA from 1 species